rnacentral:tRNA from 1 species
GGAUAGCUCAGUCGGUAGGGCAUGAGACUCUUAAUCUCAGAGUCAUGGGUUUGAACCCCACGUUGGGCA